GACGAACGCUGGCGGCGUGCUUAACACAUGCAAGUCGAACGGAAAGGCCUCUUUCGGGGGGUACUCGAGUGGCGAACGGGUGAGUAACACGUGAGUAACCUGCCCUUUACUUUGGGAUAACUUCAGGAAACGGGGGCUAAUACCGAAUAGGCGCUCCUGCUGGAGGGAGGGGGUUGGAAAGUUUCCGGGGUUGGGGAUGGACUGGCGGCUUAUGAGGAUGUGGGUGGGGAAGUGGCUUAACACGGCUUUGCCGGGAAGCCGCCGUGAGAGGGUGACCGGACACAUUGGGACUGAGAUACGGCCCAGACUCCUACCGGAGGCAGCAGUGGGGAAUAUUGCACAAUGGGUGGAAGCCUGAUGCAGCAACGCCGUGUGCGGGAUGACGGCCUUCGGGUUGUAAACCGCUUUCGCUCAUGACGAAGCUUUGUGUGACGGUAGUGGGUAAAGAAGCCCCGGCUAACUACGUG
rnacentral:rRNA from 1 species